ACUGUUGCCGAUUUCAUUUCUUUUCCUCUGGUUGCCGGUGGUUUGGGAGUUCUAGUUUGGGAAAUGAAUCGGAUCUUGGAGUUCCUUGCUGUUGAUUGGGGUUACGGGAUUGAAGAGAAGGAGGUGAUCUUGAAUUCCAGCAGCAGGGGACACACCGGUGAUUUCCAGCCGUGGGUUACACUCUGAUUACGAGGCGUCAAUAAUUUAUCAUCAGAUUUGG